rnacentral:rRNA from 1 species
UGGUUGGACGAGGUAAUAGCUGUCUUUAUUUAAUAUAUAUUAGAAUUUAACUUUUAAGUCAAAAGGCUUAAAUUUAAUUGAUAGACGAGAAGACCCUAUAGAUCUUUAUUUAUAAAGUUAUGAGUUGGAUUUGGAUUAAUUUAAAGCUUGUAAUUCUAUGAAUUUUAUUGGGGUAAUAUAAAGAUUAAAAAAAUUCUUUGAAUAGAUUGAACAAUGAUUAUUGACAAAUUGAUCCAUUAGUAUUGAUUAGAAGAUUAAGUUAC